CGACUGCAUAAUUUGUGGUAGUGGGGGA
rnacentral:piRNA from 4 species